rnacentral:rRNA from 1 species
GACUCAGCAUGGAAAUGGGGGCCUGGCCUUGAAUUGUAGUCUCGAGAUGUAUUGCCAACGGAGGCGCAGAUGUAAGCCUCUUGGAAAAGAGCAUCAACGAGGGUGAGAGUCCCGUUUGUCAUCUGCAGACCCCCGUGCACGGCGUACCUUCCAAGAGUCGCGUUCCUCGGAAUUGGAGCGUAAAUUGGGUGGUAAAUUUCAUCUGAAGCUAAAUAUUGGUUCGAGACCGAUAGCAAACAAGUACCAUGAGGGAAAGGUGAAAAGGACUUUGAAAAGAGAGUUAAAAGUGCCUGAAAUUGCUGAAAGGGAAGCGAAUGGAACCAGUGCGCUUGGUGAGAUUGUCACAUGGCUUCCAUGUGGUGGUUCUUGCCUUGUGUGUCAUUGCCAGUUUGCGUUCGAGGAAAACUCCAGAGACAUGGUAGCCUGGCCUCGGCUGGGUGAAUGUGUCUGGUAGAACUCAUUCGCGUACUGUUUUCUGUGUCUGGUUGCAGUGCACUGUGCCAUCUGGGGGUGGCUGGAGAGGGAGUUUACUCCACUUCUUUGGCUAACUUCUGGGUGACCAGGGCACUUCCUUGACACAUAGACGAUGACUAAAUGGUUCUUUUCGACCGUCUUGAAACACGGACCAAGG